UAUGAUGAAAAGGUUCAAGUUUGGGGUUGUAUGGGGGAAAUUGAAAGGCAAGUGAAAAGCAUUGAGCUAAAAUGUUGUGAAAAGAAAAAUUCAUGAGAAAAAGAAAAUAAAAGAAGAAAAGCAUGAAGAUGAGCUCAAUGAAAAAGAAAAGGGGAAAAAGUUGGAAAUAAGUGAGAUUGGUGAGAAAGAGAGUUGUGCUUAAGGGUUAAAUAUUAUGAUAGCUCUCUUAACUCAAGGAUUUUGUUUUCCAGAAAAACCAAUUUUCUUGUUAGCCCAACCUCAUUACAAGCUUUGGAAAAGUCCUUUUGAUGGCAUUUGAAUGUAAAAAUGUUGAUUGUUUGAGAUGAAUGACAAUUUUGUUUCAUGUGACUUGUGAAUAAUAGAGAGUUGGAGUGUCA
rnacentral:lncRNA from 1 species